AACGAACGCUGGCGGCAUGCCUAACACAUGCAAGUCGAACGAGACCUUCGGGUCUAGUGGCGCACGGGUGCGUAACGCGUGGGAACCUUCCCUUAGGUUCGGAAUAACUCCCCGAAAGGGGUGCUAAUACCGGAUAAUGUCUUCGGACCAAAGAUUUAUCGCCUUUGGAUGGGCCCGCGUUGGAUUAGCUAGUUGGUAGGGUAAAAGCCUACAAAGGCGACGAUCCAUAGCUGGUCUGAGAGGAUUGUCUGCCACACUGGGACUGAGACACGGCCCAGACUCCUACGGGAGGCAGCAGUAGGGAAUAUUGGACAAUGGGCGAAAGCCUGAUCCAGCAAUGCCGCGUGAGUGAUGAAGGCCUUAGGGUUGUAAAGCUCUUUUACCCGGGAUGAUAAUGACAGUACCGGGAGAAUAAGCUCCGGCUAACUCCGUG
rnacentral:rRNA from 1 species